UGCCUACGGGACGCAGCAGUGGGGGAUAUUGCACAAUGGGGGGAACCCUGAUGCAGCGACGCCGCGUGGGUGAAGAAGCGCCUCGGCGCGUAAAGCCCUGUCAGCAGGGAAGAAAAUGACGGUACCUGAAGAAGAAGCCCCGGCUAACUACGUGCCAGCAGCCGCGGUAAUACGUAGGGGGCAAGCGUUAUCCGGAUUUACUGGGUGUAAAGGGAGCGUAGGUGGCAGGGCACGUCAGAUGUGAAAACCCGGGGCUCAACCCCGGGAGUGCAUUUGAAACUGUCCGGCUGGAGUACAGGAUAGGU
rnacentral:rRNA from 1 species